rnacentral:rRNA from 1 species
CGCGCAGGCGGUUUCGUCAGUCAUGGGUGAAAGCCCCGGGCUCAACCCGGGAAGGGCCUGUGAAACCACGGGACUGGAGUGCUGGAGAGGGAAGCGGAAUUCCCAGUGUAGCGGUGAAAUGCGUAGAUAUUGGGAGGAACAUCGGUGGCGAAGGCGGCUUCCUGGACAGACACUGACGCUGAGGCGCGAAAGCCAGGGGAGCGAACG